rnacentral:rRNA from 1 species
UACGUAGGGGGCGAGCGUUGUCCGGAUUUAUUGGGCGUAAAAGGCUUGUAGGUGGCCACGUCAAUUCGGAUUUGAAAUCUCCCGGCUCAACUGGGAGGGGUCAUUCGAUACUGGCGGGCUCGAGGCCGGUAGGGGGAAGCGGAAUUCCCGGUGUAGUGGUGGAAUGCGUACAUAUCGGGAGGAACACCAGUGGCGAAGGCGGCUUCCUGGACCGGUUCUGACACUGAGGAGCGAAAGCGUGGGGAGCGAUCCGG